rnacentral:lncRNA from 1 species
CUAAAUGUGUGCUGGACUCCAUCUGCCAGUAUUUUAUUUAGGAUUUUUGCAUGGAUACUCAUAGAAGACCUUGAUCUUUGUGCAUAAUAUUUGUUAGGUUUUCAAAUCCAUCUUAUGAUUGCCUUAUAUAAGAAUUCAGGAACUUUUCCUCUACAUCUAUGCUCUAGAAUUGUUGAAUGGCAUUGGAAUGCCCUGUUCCUUGAGGGUUUGAUAGAAUUCCUUUGUUAUAUUACCUAGGCCUGGUUCUUUUGGAAAACUAGCUGCUUGACAACUUCUCUCUUUUUCUUACGGUGCUCUAUUCAGAUUUCUAUCUCUCUUUAGUUACUAAAGUUUUGGUAAACUAUGUUGCCUAGGAGAGUAUCUGUUUUAUCUGUUUUUUUUUACAUUUAUUUGCAUAGAGUUGAACAAGAUAGUUGCUUACUUAUGUUUCUUUUAAGUUACUCUGUUAUUUUCACCAUAUCUUUUCUUAUUUUUGUGUAUUUUCAUAUUUCUUUCUUUUGAGUUUCUAACAUUUUAUCUAUUUUACUAUUUCUUGUUAUUUUUUUACCAAUUCUUCAACCCAUCAAUUCUACUUAGGAGGUUAAAAAUUUUAUUUCCCUUUUUUUCCUGUAGCAUAUUUUUUGUUCUUUUAAAAAUUGAGGUGGAUGCAUAUAGCAUUUAUUUUCAUUUAUUCUUCCUAAUUAAUGUUAGCAUUUAUUUGUGAGAACAGUUUUAGAUGUAUCCUAUAGAUUCGAAUAACGUGUGAUCCUAUUAUUUUUUAUUAUUCUAUAUAUAAUAUACUUUAUUCUUUUUGCUGUUUUCUAGAUAUUGUGCAAUUUCAGUUUGGGUUUUUCCAUUUUCCCAGGGAUUUAUGAAAAGUACAUUUUUUUUUCGUACAGAUGGCAGAGGCAGGGACUGUUAAUUUUCUGCUUGUAUUAGUAAAUUCUGGUUUUAUAUCUUGUGUACGUAAAGUUGACUGUAUAAUUUCGAAUUUCUGGAAUUUGUUUCCUAAGCAGUGCAACAUGUUAAUUUUUAUGACUCUUUCAGAAGGACUUUAAAAGAAGGUGAAUUUUUAGUUUUCAGAACAUAACAUUUAAGAGGUAUCAAUCAGGCCUUUCUUACGAUCUUACCUCUGUCGUUUAUACUCCUGAUUUUUAGGCCAUUUGAUCUGUGACUGGCCCAGAGAGGUGAGAAAAGACUCCCGUACCCUGGCCUGCCUUUCCUCUUUCUUAGGUGACAUUGCCUCAUUAAUGCUGAUACCAUGUCAUUGCGGGGCGCAAUAUUCCCAACUCUUGUAGCUUCACUGUGAGUUGCACCCUUUACCGUCCUUCAGCCUCUCUUGGUCUUGUUUAGAGAUUUGGCGGAACUUCAGCCUUUCCUGGUAUGAAGACUGUAACCGCUGCUUGCUUUGUUUCUGUUUGGAUUUGCUGACAUUGUCAAUCCUUUUAUUUAUUUUAUUUUCAGCCUGUCUGAAUCUGAAUAUUCAGCUGGCGGUUAGGUAUUGUUUUAUGAUUAAUCCUUAUAGUCUCGUUUUUCUAAUAGAUGCAUUUAGCUCAUCUUUGUACAUUGAUAUGAUGACACAUUUGCUCUUCGUUUUGCCAUAAUGUUUCCAUCAUGCGUGUUUCUUGACCUUCCAAAACCUUUCACCAUGUGGCUUGUUUUCUUUGUGUGAGUACAGUGUGUGCAAGUAUUAUCAACAAAUCUACAGAAUAUUUGAACCCCUAAUUUCUUCCAAUAGUAUUUAUUACUUCACUACUAGUAGCAAUAAUGAAAUUAGAAUAUUUAUUUUUUCCUACUCCCUUUUUUCUUUACUAUGUAGUCAUAAUUGAUAUUACAAUUCUUAAUAUUUACUUUUAUAUUUUUGCAUAUUCUCAUCUUUUUUACUUAAUUUAGGAAUUGUAUUAGUCUCUUCUCGCAUUGCUAUAAAGAACUAUCUGAGACUGGGUAAUUUAUAAAGACAAGAGGUUUAAUUGGCUCACAGUUCCACAGGCUGUACAGGAAGCAUGGCUGGGAGGCCUCAGGGAACUUACAAUCGUGGUGGAAGGCGAAGGGGAAGCAGGCCCGUCUUACAUGGCCAGAGCAUGGACAAGAGAGUGAAGCGGGAGGUGCCACACACUUUUAAACAACCAGGUUUUGUGAGAACUCAUCACUCUCAUGAGAACAGCAAGGAGGAGUCUGCCCCGUGAUCCAGCCAUCUCCCACCAGGCCCUUCUCCAACACUGGGGAUUACAAUUCGAUGAGAUUUGGGCGGAGACACAAAUCCACACCAUAUCACGAGCGUCAAACAAUAUCCUCAGCUAUGAAAGAUGAGGAAAUCAAUGCACCUAACAUCCUCCCAUCAUUGCGCACUGCAGCCUCUACCUCCCAGGCUCAAGCAGUCCUCCUGCCUCAGUCCCUCCAGCAGCUGGAACUACAGGUAUGUGCCACCACCUUCCGCUAGUUUUUUGAAUUUUUUUAUAGAGGCAGGAUUUUGCCAUAUUUCUCAGACUGGUUUCGAAUUCCUGGUCUCAAAUGAUCCACCCUCUUUGGUCUCCCAAAAGGAUUACAGGUAGGAGCCACCUUGCCCAGCCAACAUCUUUUCUAAGUUCUGAGAACAUUUCACGUUUGAAAUCCUUAUUUGCCAUAAUAACCUCUGUGUUUAUUUUAAUUUUACCUCUGUGAUUAAAUAGAUUCAAUGCUCAUUUUCAUUCUUUUUGCGAUGGUCUUUCUACUUACAUCUUGCUUUGGCUGAAAUUUAUAGUAGUACAUUUCAAUAGUAAAUUCUCAAUAAGAAUGUAUAGAAACCGUGUUUCUUAAGUGCUUGAAUGAUUAAAAAAUCUUUUUCACCUUUAUACUUAAAUUUCAACUGUCUUCUAACAGAAUAUUGCCGUCUGAAGCUGAUCAGAUUUUCCCUUCAUUAGUGACUUGAUUUUGGAGGGGGCAGGAGGAAGGAGAGAGGCUGGCUUUCUUUAGGAUUCUGUCUGUAUUUGAGAAGUCCAAUGUAGGAUGCUCAACCUACCAGAAUAAUGCAAAUACUCCAAAACUUAAAAACAUGUGAGGACCCAAACACUUCAGGUCUCAAGUAUUUCAGAUAAGGGACUCUCAACUUGUAUGGGCCCAAGAGAAAUGAAAACAUAUGUCCACAGAUGUUUUUGGCAGCAUUAUUUAUAAAAGCCAAAAAGGAGAAACAACUCAAAUGUCCAUAAACAGAAAGGACUUGUACCUCCCAGAAGUUCACGGAAGUGCUCAGGACAACAGAAUAUUGUGAGGCCAACACAGCAAACAGAGCAACGAUGAGCAGCCACUUUUGACUUUGGUUUCCUUAUUCAGGAAAUAAAACAGAUGAUCUGACAGAAAAGAGCCGUUUCGUGGGAAAGAUCGCAGCAGGGAUUAACACGUGAAUCAUUUCUUGACUUUUUGAAAGCCUUUGAUGGGUUGAAUUAUUUUCCACAUCUCUGACACUUUGCUCAGAGUUUCUUUAACUUUGCGCAUUUUGGAAAUCGCUUUCAAACUUUAAUUUUAAUCUUCUUUGAAAAUGGGGCCCUACGAAACCACUUCGAUUCCACACGAGGCUCCUGCAUGCCCAGGAAGUGUUAUGCUUCUGAGGCUGCUCAUUUUGGAAACAAGUUUAUAACUAAGAAAAGGAAAUCACAGAACGGUGAAUCUUCCUGGACAGUUUCAUUUCAGGCACCCAUUGCGGCCCCUCCCAGCCAGGCCCGAGCACCUGGUUCCCACUCACCCUCCGCGGGGCCUCCUGCCAGGCCAGGCUCCGCAGUCCACAGUGGUCCACACGAUUCCACAGCC